CGUCAGAACCAUACGCGUCUUAUUUGAUAUUUGUAAUUUUAAGUGUUGUGUCGUGUUUGCGCCGCUGUCACAACAACAAAGCAAUCCGUACGUCGCAAUCGGCGGCGAACGCGCCACAAAUUUAUGCAAAUAUCGAUCGUUCGGGUUAGUAGUUAUAAAUAUUUCGUUUGUUUCGUGAACUUUAUCAAAUAAGCAGAAAAAUAUUAAACAAGCCGCAGCUAAGCCUGUUAAGUGUGAAAUUUCGAAACUUCAAAUAAUGCACCAGUAUGUUUCGCCAACGCAAAUAAAUCUUACUUUUCGGCGACCAAACGUGAAUAGUUGAAAAAAAAAAAAAAUCAAGUAAGUGGAUUUUGCAAUGAGAAAAGUUUAUUAAGUAGUAAAAAUCAGCAAAAAGUAGAAAAAAAGGGAAUGAAAAGACUUGCAACAACCUACGCAUUUUAAAAGUCUAUUAAAGUGAAUUUAGUGCAAACAAAUUGGAUAUUCGUACGUGUAUUUGGUGCUAAAAGUUAAACGUCUGAAAAAAGUUAAAAUUAAAAAAAAAAAAACAACAACACCACAAACUCAGUCUAAAUUUUCCAGCACAGCAA